GUGAACUUAAAAAAUGAUCUUACUGUUUUUUCAAGUUAAGCUUCAAGCCAGUGUUUACACUCACCUGGCUUGAAGCUUAACAUGGGAAAAAAAUCAAGAUCACGGCAACUGUUCCCA
rnacentral:precursor_RNA from 15 species